rnacentral:lncRNA from 1 species
GCCUAUGAUCUACCGUGUCGAUUCCAACUCAGAGAAUCUUUACAUCUGGAGAUCUACAGCAGGGCUAUCCCUAGUGACAUGCGUGAAGGAGCUUGGAAAUGGUGCUGGGUAGGAGCUGAGUGUGCAGAAUGUGGAAAGGCAUUCUAAACCUAAGGAAGAACAUGAGUAAAGAUGAUGAAGCAGGGAUAAGGCUAAAAUGAAAUAUGUGAUCUGAUCCACAUACAAACACAGCGUAGUACAGCUGGAAUAUAGAGAAGAGCUUGAGGACCCAUGAGCAACUAUCCCAGUACUCUUGGAGGCUCUGCCACCACAGUUUGAGAAACUCCGCAUUCAAAGUUAAAAACUGUCACCUGAAUAGUUAAUAACAUCAAAGAUUGUGAAAGCAAGUAUAAAUAACACAGAGAUUAAAAUAAUGAGGCAGGAUCAGAAAGAUGACUGAAACCCACAGCGAACAAUCCUCAUGGAAUACAGCUCAGCUCAUUCUGAAGAAUAAGUGGGAGGUCAGCCUCAUGGGAAAUUCGAUAUCUCCACAUGCAGCUGUCAUGCCACGUGGAAACAGUCAUGCAUAGGGUCCUGUCACCUGGUAGACUGACCCCAGGUCCACUGACCCCUGACAAUGAUACCGCUUCUGAGGGCUCCAUGAUUGAGAUUUGUCCCCAGGAACUCGGGGGAAACUAUCUAUUGAUUAAAAUGAACUAUGAAAGU